ACGGCUCAGUAACACGUGGAUAACAUGCCUUAAGGUGGGGGAUAAUCUCGGGAAACUGAGGAUAAUACCCCAUAGGUCUGAUCUGCUGGAAUGCUUUCAGGCCGAAAACUCCGGUGCCUUAGGAUUGGUCUGCGGUCUAUCAGGCUGUAGUGGGUGUAAUGGACCCACUAGCCCGUGACGGAUAUGGGCCUUGAGAGAGGGAGCCCAGAGAUGGACUCUGAGACAUGAGUCCAGGCCCUACGGGGCGCAGCAGUCGCGAAAACUUCGCAAUGGGGGCAACCCCGACGAGGGAAUUCCAAGUGCCAGCACUUUGUGUUGGCUGUUCUCCUGUCUAAAAAACAGGAGGAGUAAGGGGCGGGUAAGACGGGUGCCAGCCGCCGCGGUAAUACCCGCGCCCCUAGUGGUGGUCGAUAUUAUUGAGCCUAAAACGUCCGUAGCCGGUCUUCUAAAUCCUUGGGUAAAUCGGGCAGCUUAACUGUCCGAAGUCCGGGGAGACUGGGAGACUUGGGACCGGGAGAGGUCAGAGGUACUUCUGGGGUAGGGGUAAAAUCCUGUAAUCCUGGAAGGACCACCGGUGGCGAAGGCGUCUGACUAGAACGGAUCCGACGGUGAGGGACGAAGCCCUGGGGCGCAAACGGGAUUAGAUACCCCGGUAGUCCAGGGUGUAAACGCUGCGGGCUUGGUGUUGGGGGUCCUUAGUGGGCGCCCAGUGCCGGAGAGAAGUUGUUAAGCCUGCUGCUUGGGGAGUAUGUCCGCAAGGAUGAAACUUAAAGGAAUUGGCGGGGGAGCAC
rnacentral:rRNA from 1 species